CGAAAGCCUGACGGAGCAACGCCGCGUGAGGGAUGAAGGCCUCUGGGCUGUAAACCUCUUUUAUCAAGGAAGAAGAUCUGACGGUACUUGAUGAAUAAGCCACGGCUAAUUCCGUGCCAGCAGCCGCGGUAAUACGGGAGUGGCAAGCGUUAUCCGGAAUUAUUGGGCGUAAAGCGUCCGUAGGCGGCCUUGUAAGUCUGUCGUCAAAGCGUGGAGCUUAACUCCAUUUAAGCGAUGGAAACUGCAAGGCUAGAGUGUGGUAGGGCCAGAGGGAAUUCCCGGUGUAGCGGUGAAAUGCGUAGAUAUCGGGAAGAACACCAGUGGCGAAGGCGCUCUGCUGGGCCAUAACUGACGCUCAUGGACGAAAGCCAGGGGAGCG
rnacentral:rRNA from 1 species